UCUCCUGGAAAACGGGUGGUAAUGCCGGAUGUUCCAGUUGAUCGCAUGGUCUUCUGGGAAAGCUUUCGCGGUAUGGGAUGGGGUCGCGUCCUAUCAGCUUGACGGCGGGGUAACGGCCCACCGUGGCUUCGACGGGUAGCCGGCCUGAGAGGGCGACCGGCCACAUUGGGACUGAGAUACGGCCCAGACUCCUACGGGAGGCAGCAGUGGGGAAUAUUGCACAAUGGGCGCAAGCCUGAUGCAGCGACGCCGCGUGAGGGAUGGAGGCCUUCGGGUUGUAAACCUCUUUUAUCGGGGAGCAAGCGUGAGUGAGUUUACCCGUUGAAUAAGCACCGGCUAACUACGUGCCAGCAGCCGCGGUAAUACGUAGGGUGCAAGCGUUAUCCGGAAUUAUUGGGCGUAAAGGGCUCGUAGGCGGUUCGUCGCGUCCGGUGUGAAAGUCCAUCGCUUAACGGUGGAUCCGCGCCGGGUACGGGCGGGCUUGAGUGCGGUAGGGGAGACUGGAAUUCCCGGUGUAACGGUGGAAUGUGUAGAUAUCGGGAAAGAACACCA
rnacentral:rRNA from 1 species